GACGAACGCUGGCGGCGUGCUUAACACAUGCAAGUCGAACGGAAAGGCCCUGCUUUUGUGGGGUGCUCGAGUGGCGAACGGGUGAGUAACACGUGAGUAACCUGCCCUUGACUUUGGGAUAACUUCAGGAAACUGGGGCUAAUACCGGAUAGGAGCUCCUGCUGCAUGGUGGGGGUUGGAAAGUUUCGGCGGUUGGGGAUGGACUCGCGGCUUAUCAGCUUGUUGGUGGGGUAGUGGCUUACCAAGGCUUUGACGGGUAGCCGGCCUGAGAGGGUGACCGGCCACAUUGGGACUGAGAUACGGCCCAGGCUCCUACGGGAGGCAGCAGUGGGGAAUAUUGCACAGUGGGCGGAAGCCUGAUGCAGCAACGCCGCGUGCGGGAUGACGGCCUUCGGGUUGUAAACCGCUUUCGCCUGUGACGAAGCGUGAGUGACGGUAAUGGGUAAAGAAGCACCGGCUAACUACGUG
rnacentral:rRNA from 1 species